rnacentral:rRNA from 1 species
GACGAACGCUGGCGGCGUGCUUAACACAUGCAAGUCGAACGGAAAGGCCUCUUUCGGGUGGUACUCGAGUGGCGAACUGGUGAGUAACACGUGAGUAACCUGCCCUUUACUUUGGGAUAACUUCUGGAAACUGGGGCUAAUACCUGAUAGCAGCUCCUGCUUCCUGGUGGGGGUUGGAAAUUUUCGGCGGUUGGGGGUGGACUCGCGGCUUAUCAGCUUGUUGGUGGGGUAGUGGCUUACCAAGGCGUUGACGGGUAGCCGGCCUGAGUGUGUGACCGGCCACAUUGGGACUGAGAGACGGCCCAGACUGCUACGGGAGGAAGCAGUGGGGAAGAUUGAACAAGGGGUGGAAGCCGGAUGAAGCAACGCCGUGUGCGGGAUGACGGCCUUCGGGUUGUAAAACGCUUUCGCUCAUGACGAAGCUUUGUGUGACGGUAGUGGGUAAAGAAGCACCGGCUAACUACGUG